rnacentral:tRNA from 1 species
AUUCCCGUGGUGUAGUGGUUAUCAUGUGCGCUUUACACGCGCAAGGCCCCCGGUUCGAUCCCGGGCGGGAACA